rnacentral:rRNA from 1 species
GCAUCAAGUGGCGCUGGUUACCUUGUUACGACUUCACUGAUCAUGAAUCCUACCGUGGUAGUCGCCCUCCUGCGGUUAGGCUAACUACUUCUGGUAAAACCCACUCCCAUGGUGUGACGGGCGGUGUCAUGCAAGACCCGGGAACGUAUUCACCGCGACAUGCUGAUCGCGAUUACUAGCGAUUCCCGACUUCACGCAGUCGAGUUGCAGACUGCGAUCCGGACUACGAUCGGGUUUCUGGGAUUGGCUCCCCCUCGCAGGUUUGGCGACCCUCUAUCCCGACAUUGUAUGACGGUAGAGGCCCUACCAUAAAGGCCGCGGGGACUUGACGUCAUCACCUUCUCCAGUUUGUCACCGGCAGUCUCGACAAGUGCCCUUUCGUAGCAACUAAUGACAAAGGUUGCGCUCAUUCCGCGGGACUUAACCCCGGCAUCUCGACACGGCUGACGACAGCCAUGCAGCACCUGUGUUCCGGUUCUCUUGCGAGCACUCCCAAAUCUCUUCGGGAUUCCAGACAUGUCUUAGAUGAAAUAAGGUUUUCGCGUUGCGUCGAAUUAAUCCACAUCAUCCACCGCUUGUGCGGAGUCCCGUCAAUUCUUUGAGUUUAAUCUUGCGACCGUGCUCACAGGCGGUCGCUUCUGCCGUUCAGCUGCGCCAAAGGCCCGAAGCCCAACAGCUAGUUGACAUCGUUUGGGCGAAAACCGGUUCCCAGGUGGUCUCUAAUCUGUUUGCUCACCGCUUUCGUGCAUAAGCGUCAGUGUUAUCCCAGGAAGCUGCCUUCGCCAUCGUUGUUCCUCCGCAUAUCUACGCAUUUCACUGCUACGCGAAUUCCACCUCCCUCCUGACACACUCCUAGCUCGGUAGUUAAAAAUGCAGUUCCCAAAGUUAAGCUCUGGGAUUUCACAUCUUUCUUUCCGAACCGCCUUGCGCACGCUUUACGCCCAGUAAUUCCGUUAGCUUACCCUACGUAUUACCGCGGCUGCUGGCACGUAGUUCAGCCGGUGCUUAUUCUGCGGGUGCCGUCGGUUGCUGCGGAGUGUUCUCCGUGCCGUUUUUCUUUCCUUAUAAAGUGCUUCUGGCGAAGGCCUUCAUCACACACGCCCGGGAUGGCUGGAUCAGGGUUUCCCCCAUUGUCAAAAUUCCCCUGCGCACUCCCGUAGGAGUCUGGUAUAUACUCCAGUCCCGGUGUAGUAGUCGUCCUCAAACCAGCUACGGAUCGUCGCCUUGGUGAGCCGUUACCCCAUAACUGGCUGAUACGAUAUCGGCCGCUCUAAUUGCGGUGAAGAUUCCCCCGCUUUCCCCCGGGGGCGGUAUUAGCUGCAGCACCGGCGUAGUUAUCCCCGCUGCACUAGGCGUUCCGAUACAUUACUCACCCGUUCGCCACUCACCAUAGACCGAAGUCGCGCCAUUGACGCACGUGUGUCAAAGCAUCCCGCCAGCGUUCAAUCAGGCUAUGAUCAGACC